rnacentral:rRNA from 1 species
ACACGUCUACAUUAGAUACCCGUGUAGUCCCAGCCGUAAACUAUGCGCGUUAGGUGUAUCGGUGACCACGAGUCACCGAGGUGCCGAAGGGAAACCGUGAAACGUGCCGCCUGGGAAGUACGGUCGCAAGGCUGAAACUUAAAGGAAUUGGCGGGGAGCACCACAACGGGUGGAGCCUGCGGUUUAAUUGGACUCAACGCCGGGAAGCUCACCGGAUAAGACAGCGGAAUGAUUGCCGGGCUGAAGACUCUGCAUGACUAGCUG